UGCGGGGCGGGUCCCUUCCUCGCUUCAGUGGGUGCCACCCCCUCCGAGGCAUGGCUUCUCGUUGUGCCCCAGACCGGCCAAGGGCCUGGCGGUGGUCUCCCGCGUGAUGGUGACCGCUUGUUCCUCCAACUGCUCUGCUGUUUACGGACUCCUGUGCCGGGUUUAAGCCGCACGCCUAGAAAGGCCAUGGGCGGCGCAGACCCCCAGCCCGGGGGGAGACUUAGGCAGCCAGGACUGGAGUACCCGAGGAGUAUGGUUCGGCGACUUGGAGAAGCAAUUGGGGACUGGAGGAAGAGCUGGCAGUCUGCCGUCUCCUGAUACACAGCCCCUGCCUCCCCAAGGACGGGCCAUUGCCCUUCCGUCUGGCGCGUGUGGCCUGGGGCUCCGAGGCUCUCAGGAAGAGUUCAAGACGGGAAGGACAGGACGGCCCAGAGGCGUCGGGUAAGGCGUGCGGCGGAGCCGGUGCUCUGUCCGUGGUGGUGGAGGAGAGGUAUGGACCAAUCCCCUCAGGACUCCUGACUGCUCUUGGUGAAGAAGAAAUCAGAGGCCAAAUCUGGACUUCUAGGGGUACACCUGAAAUUUUUGGUGCGUUAUUAGAGUACUGAACUGAAACUGUCCUUUUGAAGCUGUGGUGCCGGAGUCCAGCUCCAGCCGAGGGGUGGGAUGCCCGAAGGUGCAGAACGGAGUCAGCGAAACGGUGAGGGAAAAUGAGGAGUCAGGCACGGAGUCAAGCUGGAAUCACCUCUUAGUCAUAGCUCCUAGUGAGUGUGCCAAUAGUGGUUUUAUUUAUAUGAUUAUUUCCAGACAUUUUCCCUUUGAUCAGUAAUGUUACAAUCUUUAUUUAUCCUUUGAUCAGUGAUGAUACAAUCUUUUUUCCUUUCUGUUUCUUUCUUAUUCCAGGUGAUUACCCUUAAUUGCAGACAGCUGACAUCUCUAUUUCCUUAUUCAUGCAAUUCUUAGUAUGAUUAUUUUUGGACAUUAUCUCAUUUUUAUGCAGAGCAUGUUCACCAGAAUACAUGAUGUGUACAAUGGGAAAAGGACAGGUGCAAGAGUUCAAUCAAAGUUCAUUGACUAUAAUAAUUCACAUUACAAUUCUCAUCUUCUAAAGGCCUAAUACAAUAAAUACAUUUAAUUUUUCUAUACCAUUUAUUCCACAUUUCUAUCCACACUUUACAUGCUUGACGUGUCCAAAGACACUAAGGUUUCUUUCCUCUUUUAGUCCUUUCCCAUAAUGAGACAGAACUAAAUCAAACCAUCUUAUAAUCAAUCCAAUACCACAAAUUCAUAUCUUCAUCAUAUACUCCUUCAUAGGGUACUGUGUGUGGGUAACAAAGUAAACUUCUCUAUAUUGCUCAUGAAUUUUCUUCCUCUAGGGAGAUACCAAAAUCUUCCUCCUAUGAGAUAAGCGGGGCCAUAUGGUCCUGCUACAGUGGGAACAGCUCUAUUUAUUUUAUCUAGGCCUUUAUUAGCCUCUUGCAUCAGGGGGCUUUUCCAAGGGCCUGGAUCCAUGAUUUCCUUAUGCUGGAUUUUCUUAAAGAAUUCCUUAUUACACACAUUAGUGCUAUUACAAAACGGGGGGCAUAAUUCUUGAGGCUUUUCUGUAAUUAUUAACCUUUUACUUUGUUCUUUCUGCAUUUCAUUUUCUUUCUGUGUUCCAUUAUGUUCCUUAGAAUUAUUCUGCAAACCUGCUGGGAAAUCAGUGUCCCCAUCGGUUCUGGUUAACUUAUCAAAGGAAAAUUAAGCCCUGGGUAUGAAUACAGGUAAGAAAAUAGCCAGUAUUAUUACAGCUAUCAAGAAUGUUAAGGCAGGUAAUAGAGAGAGCCAGCUGUGAGGACCCCUGCUUUACAGGAGCCCUCCUCGGGCCUGGACUUUGUCAAAACAGCCUGAGUAGCAUGGCUUCCGCCACUGUGGCUAUGUUGGCUUUUGACCAAUUUAACAUAUGUUACUGUCUCAGGAUUAGCAUUGACUGUGUACAACUGAAAUCUGUUUACAAUGUUUACAGUAGCUCAAAGAGGUGUUUUUUUUUUUUUUUAAGGAAUAAAAAGUCCAGAAGGAAGCUGUCUAGGCCCUGUGAUUCCAACAGGUCUCUAGGUUACCCCUUUAUUUCUUAUUGACCAUCUUAAUGUUACCAACCCAAAUUUUGGGUCCUUUUGCCUGGCAUCAUUUACUCCCAAGACUGGGUUCAGUUUAGCAGAGCAGAAGCUUCAGUCUCUGAGCAAAGAACAGAGAAGGGUGAGUUUUCCAAAUGCCACCUUCUUCCAGAAGGGAGGAAAGUGAGGAUUUCUUGAGGGGUGAGGGGGCAUGGGUGGUAGGAGCACCAUCUCAACCUCAGGAAGAGGACAGAGUUCCCAGAACUGCUGGAGCAUGUGCAGUCCUUCAGGCUUCUUUGUGCUGGCCUGAAAUGUGCCUAGCAAGGGGCACCUCUCUCCCCAGGGUGAGGAUUUUAGUAUUAAAAUGAAGGUAUAAUGAUCUGGAAGUAGGUUAAAGGUGAAGCUCAGCCAGCUUCUUCAGUUUUUCUGAUUCGAGCUGGUUCUGUGCUUGGCCUUCCUAGUGGUUAUCACCGACCUGGCUCGGUUCCUAUAAGCAAGCCCAGCUUCAGAAAAAAUUCUUAGCUUUUAGUUCUUUUGUUAUCUUAUUCAUAAGCAGACUUGGGUGACAAUUUUUCUUCCUCUAUGUCCCGCUGUUCAUUCUUGAGGGGCAAUGGAUGAAGGUCCAUCUUCCGUAGCUACUUUGUUUGAAAGCCCCAGACUCACUGUUGGAUGAGUAAGGGUCUCAAAAUGCCUGAUCAGCUCAUGGACAUCUUCUGACUGGCUGAGCAUUAGGCCACUAGGAGAUAUUUCAUGAGUCUCAGUUAUCAGUCUUCUGGCUCCAACUAGUCUGGUGUCUACAUGCUUGUGGUGAGUGUGGAUAAAAUGAAAGUUCCUGUGGCUAGGUUUCUCACCUGGCCCUGGAUGGCAAGCUCACUACAUAUGUGUUGGGCCAUGCAUUGUUAUUGACUUUAUAUAAAGAACCCUGCCCAGUGCUCUGUGCCACUUGGUGGCAUGGCUGCAAGGCUACAGGAGAGCAGAGCAGAGGCUGGAGUGGUGGCAGCGCCAAGGACAGAGGGCAAGAGGACAGCUGUACAGGCAGAGAGCCUAGAGGACAGCUCUGCAGGUAGAGAGGCCCAGAGGCAGAGACCGGCUUGCUGCAUGCAGACUCGCUCUGAGUGAACAGAAUUUUAGUGACUGACCUGCCAUCGUGGAAAUAAAGUUGGGUAUAACCCUUUCACCCCAAGAA